rnacentral:rRNA from 1 species
AGUGAACGCUGGCGGUAGGCCUAACACAUGCAAGUCGAACGACAGCACAGUAAGAGCUUGCUCUUACGGGUGGCGAGUGGCGGACGGGUGAGGAAUACAUCGGAAUCUACUUUUUCGUGGGGGAUAACGGAGGGAAACUUACGCUAAUACCGCAUACGACCUACGGGUGAAAGCAGGGGAUCUUCGGACCUUGCGCGAUUGAAUGAGCCGAUGUCGGAUUAGCUAGUUGGCGGGGUAAAGGCCCACCAAGGCGACGAUCCGUAGCUGGUCUGAGAGGAUGAUCAGCCACACUGGAACUGAGACACGGUCCAGACUCCUACGGGAGGCAGCAGUGGGGAAUAUUGGACAAUGGGCGCAAGCCUGAUCCAGCCAUACCGCGUGGGUGAAGAAGGCCUUCGGGUCGUAAAGCCCUUUUGUUGGGAAAGAAAAGCAGCAGGUUAAUACCCCGCUGUUCUGACGGUACCCAAAGAAUAAGCACCGGCUAACUUCGUG